UCAGGUAACACUGAAUGGAGGACCGAACCGACUUACGUUGAAAAGUGAGCGGAUGAACUGAGGGUAGCGGAGAAAUUCCAAUCGAACCUGGAGAUAGCUGGUUCUCUCCGAAAUAGCUUUAGGGCUAGCCUCAAGUGAUGAUUAUUGGAGGUAGAGCACUGUUUGGACGAGGGGCCCCUCUCGGGUUACCGAAUUCAGACAAACUCCGAAUGCCAAUUAAUUUAACUUGGGAGUCAGAACAUGGGUGAUAAGGUCCGUGUUCGAAAGGGAAACAGCCCAGACCACCAGCUAAGGUCCCAAAAUAUAUGUUAAGUGGAAAAGGAUGUGGCGUUGCCCAGACAACUAGGAUGUUGGCUUAGAAGCAGCCAUCAUUUAAAGAGUGCGUAAUAGCUCACUAGUCGAGUGACACUGCGCCGAAAAUGUACCGGGGCUAAACAUAUUACCGAAGCUGUGGAUUGUCCUUUGGACAAUGGUAGGAGAGCGUUCUAAGGGCGUUGAAGCAUGAUCGUAAGGACAUGUGGAGCGCUUAGAAGUGAGAAUGCCGGUGUGAGUAGCGAAAGACGGGUGAGAAUCCCGUCCACCGAUUGACUAAGGUUUCCAGAGGAAGGCUCGUCCGCUCUGGGUUAGUCGGGUCCUAAGCUGAGGCCGACAGGCGUAGGCGAUGGAUAACAGGUUGAUAUUCCUGUACCACCUAUAAUCGUUUUAAUCGAUGGGGGGACGCAGUAGGAUAGGCGAAGCGUGCGAUUGGAUUGCACGUCUAAGCAGUAAGGCUGAGUAUUAGGCAAAUCCGGUACUCGUUAAGGCUGAGCUGUGAUGGGGAGAAGACAUUGAGUCUUCGAGUCGUUGAUUUCACACUGCCGAGAAAAGCCUCUAGAUAGAAAAUAGGUGCCCGUACCGCAAACCGACACAGGUAGUCAAGAUGAGAAUUCUAAGGUGAGCGAGCGAACUCUCGUUAAGGAACUCGGCAAAAUGACCCCGUAACUUCGGGAGAAGGGGUGCUCUUUAGGGUUAACGCCCAGAAGAGCCGCAGUGAAUAGGCCCAAGCGACUGUUUAUCAAAAACACAGGUCUCUGCUAAACCGUAAGGUGAUGUAUAGGGGCUGACGCCUGCCCGGUGCUGGAAGGUUAAGAGGAGUGGUUAGCUUCUGCGAAGCUACGAAUCGAAGCCCCAGUAAACGGCGGCCGUAACUAUAACGGUCCUAAGGUAGCGAAAUUCCUUGUCGGGUAAGUUCCGACCCGCACGAAAGGCGUAACGAUUUGGGCACUGUCUCAACGAGAGACUCGGUGAAAUCAUAG
rnacentral:rRNA from 1 species